rnacentral:rRNA from 1 species
GGAUCAUUACCGAGUUUACAACUCCCAAACCCCUGUGAACAUACCAAUUGUUGCCUCGGCGGAUCAGCCCGCUCCCGGUAAAACGGGACGGCCCGCCAGAGGACCCCUAAACUCUGUUUCUAUAUGUAACUUCUGAGUAAAACCAUAAAUAAAUCAAAACUUUCAACAACGGAUCUCUUGGUUCUGGCAUCGAUGAAGAACGCAGCAAAAUGCGAUAAGUAAUGUGAAUUGCAGAAUUCAGUGAAUCAUCGAAUCUUUGAACGCACAUUGCGCCCGCCAGUAUUCUGGCGGGCAUGCCUGUUCGAGCGUCAUUUCAACCCUCAAGCCCCCGGGUUUGGUGUUGGGGAUCGGCGAGCCCUCGCGGCAAGCCGGCCCCGAAAUCUAGUGGCGGUCUCGCUGCAGCUUCCAUUGCGUAGUAGUAAAACCCUCGCAACUGGUACGCGGCGCGGCCAAGCCGUUAAACCCCCAACUUCUGAAUGUUGACCUCGGAUCAGGUAGGAAUACCCGCUGAACUUAAGCAUAUCAAA